rnacentral:rRNA from 1 species
GUAUACGGCCAUGCCACCCUGACCAAGCCCGAUGUCUGACCUCAGAAGCUAAGCAGGGUCGGGCUGGUUAGUACUUGGAUGGGAGACCACCUAGGAAGACCAGGUGCUGAAGGCA